rnacentral:lncRNA from 1 species
UACUGUGUCCAGAUGUGGAGUCCUCAGUACAGGAGAGACAUGAACCUGUUAGAGCAUAUCCAGAGGAGGGCCACAAAAAUGUCCAAGCAGUGGAACACCUCCCCUGUCAGGACAUCCUGAGAGAGCUGAGGCUGUUCAGCCUGGAGAAGAGAAGGAAGGGGAAAGAUGCUUUAGCAGAGUCUGCUGUGACAGAACAAAGGGAAAUGGCUUCAGAGUAAAAGAGGAGGGACUUAGACUGGAUAGAAGGAAAACAUUUCCCAGAAAGGUGGUGAAUACCCUAUCCCUGGAGACAUUCAAGGUCAGGCUGGACAAGGCUCUGAGCAACCUGAUCUAGCUGUAGUUGUCCCUGUUCAUUGCAGGGGAGUUGGACUAGAUAACUUUUAAGGGUUCAUUCCAAUUUAAACAAACUAUGAUGCUGCGGUUUUGAAGAGACUAUAUUUGGAGUGUGCAUACUGGCUGGAUUUUGCAUUAUUUUUUUCUGGAAUGAGUUUUUCAGUUUUAAAAAUGUAUGAGGCAAAGCAAUAGCAUAACUUAAACAUAUGGAUAUUUGCAAAAUUUGAAUUGAUGUAUUUAACUGGAUUCUCCCAAUUCUGUUCCAUGUCUUUUUUUUUUUUCUUUUUUUUAAGUGUGGCUCAAGUCUUAAAACCUACAGAAAUGAAUAUCUUCUUGAUAUUCAUUCUUCCAGGGAGGUGGUUUUUCAAAUACAUCCCUAUGUACUGGAUUUGCAAGCUAGCUUUUGACCGAAAUUAGGCAGUUCUCCUUAUUUUAUUUAGAGAUGCCUAGUUCUUGCCUAUACAAAGAGAAUAAAACAGUAAAUUAACUGUUUAAAAAAAAAAAUAGAUUAAUCCUAUUAGACUGCCACAUAAAAGUUAGGAAGAACUUUGUAAGCAAUGUUAUUGUUCUUAUACAGCAAUCAUACAUUUUCAACAGACUUUAUUAGUAAGGCUACACAAGUGCUCAAACUCGCAGAAGCAAGAAGGAUGCCAGCUGCAAGUGCCCUUCCAGGAUAUUUCUUCUUUCAUGAAAAGCACCAAGCAGGCUCUCCUAUCUCAAAUCUCUCAAACCUGCAUAGCUGUUUGUAAAUUAUACCAAUUGACUAUGUAUCUUAAACCUUUCCUAAAAUGUUAUUCAGUUAAUAAAGUAGGUUCACCAAGAAUAAGUUAUAGGAUUGCUAAUCUAAUAGUAAACAAAUAAGUAAUAAAAGUUAGGUUU